UACGUAGGGGGCUAGCGUUGUCCGGAUUUAUUGGGCGUAAAGAGCUCGUAGGCGGCUUAGUAAGUCGGGUGUGAAACCUCCAGGCUCAACCUGGAGACGCCACCCGAUACUGCUGUGGCUAGAGUCCGGUAGGGGAGCGUGGAAUUCCUGGUGUAGCGGUGAAAUGCGCAGAUAUCAGGAGGAACACCAGCGGCGAAGGCGGCGCUCUGGGCCGGUACUGACGCUGAGGAGCGAAAGCGUGGGGAGCAAACAGG
rnacentral:rRNA from 1 species